AGAUUUUUAAUCCUUUUGCUGUGCGAAAAAGAGCGCUGUAGCGUUCAUUUCUUCCUUCUCUCCACCGCCAUUACCCUCCUCUGGUUCUUCAUCAUCAAUCCACUCCUCUGGCUCUUCUUGUCGAUUCCCUUUCGCUCGUUGUCAACCCAUGCCUCUUCAGUGCUGCUGGUUCGUCCGUCGCUGGUGUCCAGGUUUGCCGUGGACUCACCGUUGACGAGGUCGGAGUCACGAGUUCGUGGUUCCCCUGUUCUUUGUUUCACCAUCGAUUCCUUCUUCUCUCUUCCUCGUUGGCAUCAUUUAGGUGCUGGUGAGUGAAGCUCGUCCUUCGUCCUCCUCCUUUGUGCAACAGCGUCUCUUUCCUCCUUCACCACUGAGUUCUGUCGGGCUCCCUCUCCCCUGUACAGCUCCUGCAAAUCUUCUCCUUUCUUGCUGUGCUGUCUAUGAUUAAGAUUAUUUGGAGAAUCACUGAAGUAAUUGAGAACUUAAGGGGGUCAAGUUUUAGAAUUCUUGAAGAGUUCCAGCCCCGUAUGCAGGUUAACGCAUGUGGAACAAAGGGAUGAUUAUUCGUGAACAUUGUACUCAUGCUUAUUCGUGGGCUUCAUGCCUGCGCUUGACUUGUCGCUCUAGCCGUGCUUGUUUCAUGACUUUCAACCACACUUGAUUGGUUACUUACCCUCAUGGACUGUGUAUCUAUGCUUGAUGGUAUAGCUAACUCUACGCCUUCAACGGAUCAUUGAGAGGCCAUUUGCCUUUUUGGGAAAGAGAAAUCGUAUUGCGAUUAUUGUUUUGGUAAAAUUAUGUAUUGUAUUUUGUAAUCAUUACUUAGUGUUUCACAUAUACCAUAGUUAGCUCCUAAUCUUAUUUUGUUAUUAUGUAAAUUGCUGGAAAGGAGCUAGUCUCUUUGCUGGUCUGGUUGACAGGUGCUAUUAUUGUUGUGGAAAUUUUAAAAGGUUUGA